GACGAACGCUGGCGGCGUGCUUAACACAUGCAAGUCGAACGGAAAGGCCCUGCGUUUGUGGGGUGCUCGAGUGGCGAACGGGUGAGUAACACGUGAGUAACCUGCCCUUGACUUUGGGAUAACUUCAGGAAACUGGGGCUAAUACCGGAUAGGAGCUCCUGCUGCAUGGUGGGGGUUGGAAAGUUUCGGCGGUUGGGGAUGGACUCGCGGCUUAUCAGCUUGUUGGUGGGGUAGUGGCUUUCCAAGGCUUUGACGGGUAGCCGGCCUGAGAGGGUGACCGGCCACAUUGGGACUGAGGUACGGCCCAGACUCCUACGGGAGGCAGCAGUGGGGAAUAUUGCACAAUGGGCGGAAGCCUGAUGCAGCAACGCCGCGUGCGGGAUGACGGCCUUCGGGUUGUAAACCGCUUUCGCCUGUGACGAAGCGUGAGUGACGGUAAUGGGUAAAGAAGCACCGGCUAACUACGUG
rnacentral:rRNA from 1 species